rnacentral:rRNA from 1 species
UACGGAGGGGGCUAGCGUUGUUCGGAAUUACUGGGCGUAAAGCGCACGUAGGCGGCUUUGUAAGUUAGAGGUAAAAGCCCGGGGCUCAACUCCGGAACUGCCUUUAAGACUGCAUCGCUAGAAUUGUGGAGAGGUGAGUGGAAUUCCGAGUGUAGAGGUGAAAUUCGUAGAUAUUCGGAAGAACACCAGUGGCGAAGGCGACUCACUGGACACAUAUUGACGCUGAGGUGCGAAAGCGUGGGGAGCAAACAGG